CCUACGGGAGGCAGCAGUGGGGAAUUUUGCGCAAUGCUCGUAAGAGUGACGCAGCGACGCCGCGUGAAUGACGAAGGCCUUCGGGUCGUAAAGUUCUUUCGACAGGGAAGAAAAUGCCUAUAAGUAACUGUGUAUGUAUUGACGGUACCUGUAUAAGCAGCCCCGGCUAACUCCGUGCCAGCAGCCGCGGUAAUACGGAGGGGGCGAGCGUUGUUCGGAGUGACUGGGCGUAAAGAGCACGUAGGCGGUGGUGUAAGUCAUUAGUCAAAGACUAGAGCUCAACUUUAGUAAGGCUAGUGAUACUGUAAUACUGGAGUAUCAGAGAGGAUUGCAGAAUUCCUGGUGUAGCGGUGAAAUGCGUAGAUAUCAGGAGGAAUACCGUUAGCGAAGGCGGCAAUCUGGCUGGAAACUGACGCUGAGGUGCGAAAGCGUGGGUAGCAAACAGGAUUAGAUACCCCAGUAGUC
rnacentral:rRNA from 1 species